GACGUAGGGGGCAAGCGUUGUCCGGAAUUAUUGGGCGUAAAGGGCUCGUAGGCGGUUUGUCGCGUCGGGAGUGAAAACUCAGGGCUUAACCCUGAGCCUGCUUCCGAUACGGGCAGACUAGAGGUAUGCAGGGGAGAACGGAAUUCCUGGUGUAGCGGUGAAAUGCGCAGAUAUCAGGAGGAACACCGGUGGCGAAGGCGGUUCUCUGGGCAUUACCUGACGCUGAGGAGCGAAAGCGUGGGGAGCAAACAGG
rnacentral:rRNA from 1 species